CCUACGGGCGGCAGCAGUGGGGAAUAUUGGACAAUGGGGGCAACCCUGAUCCAGCCAUGCCGCGUGUGUGAAGAAGGCCCUCGGGUUGUAAAGCACUUUCAGUGAGGAAGAACGCCUGGUGGUUAAUACCCAUCAGGAAAGACAUCACUCACAGAAGAAGCACCGGCUAACUCCGUGCCAGCAGCCGCGGUAAUACGGAGGGUGCGAGCGUUAAUCGGAAUUACUGGGCGUAAAGCGCGCGUAGGUGGCUUGAUAAGCCGGUUGUGAAAGCCCCGGGCUCAACCUGGGAACGGCAUCCGGAACUGUCAAGCUAGAGGGCAGGAGAGGAAGGUAGAAUUCCCGGUGUAGCGGUGAAAUGCGUAGAGAUCGGGAGGAAUACCAGUGGCGAAGGCGGCCUUCUGGACUGACACUGACACUGAGGUGCGAAAGCGUGGGUAGCAAACAGGAUUAGAUACCCGGGUAGUC
rnacentral:rRNA from 1 species